UUUGUUUUACCAGAAUCAGAAUAUUGUCAGGCCAGGAACAAGAAGAAAAGAGUCACUGACAGCUUUAUUUCUUGGGAUCUUGAAGGACUGACCCAACUUAGAGAUUACACAGCUAUCCAGUAAAGACACUCAGAGCGUACCACAGGCUAAGCGCUCAGCAGACACUGAGUACGUGCUGAUGGAGAAAAUGGCAGAGACAAAGACCAGAGUAAUGUUGGAAAGACACAUGUUGAGGACAAGAGAGUGACAUCAUCCUGAGUUUCUAUGUGACUGUACAGAACAAAGACAACUCUCUGCCGCCUCCCCCAGUCCCCAGCCUGGAACUUAUUCCCUGGAUGGCAGUAGGAGAAAUAAACCUUGACUACAUUUAAGCUAAAGUAUUUUGGGUCCACUUCUUAUAGGGUUUUAGCUUAAUCUAAUUAAUACAUAGUUGAAAACCAAUAUAUUGUAUAGAAGAAUUUGAAUUGUAUUAGAGUUCCUAGAUGCGAUAAAACCUAAUCUGGGUGUUAAUUAGUAACAAUUGCAAAUAAUUUAGAGAUUUAAUGUGCCAGGAACUGUGCCAAGAAACAACAUGUACUAUCUAAUUGUCACAAUAGCCCUUUACAUUAUGUGUUAUUGAAACUUAAUUUUGCCCGUGAAGUAAGUUUAGAACAGCCAUGUAUACAGCUACAAUGGAUGGUAGGCCCAUAAUCUGAACACAUCUACCUCUGUCUAUGAAGUCGGUGUAUGCUGGUGGGGGCUAGUGUAAAGGAAAGGCAUGUAGGUGUGUGUUAUGGGGCAGGUUGGGGCUGGGUGUGACAAUAGCUGUAGGACUUUUCCUUUCCAGUAAUAUUCUUAUAGAAAAAGAGUUCCCUUUGCUCUCCUGUUCUUCAAGCCAGUCUUGACUUCCGAAAUCUGAACUGCUCUUUUCUCCAUCAAUGCUAUGGCAAUGGGAGAACCCAGAAUAAAUUAUCUAGGUAUUUAGAGCUGAAAAAGGAGCCAAAAACCUAGCCCUCACCAACCAGCAUGCCCACUCCCAAACAGGAGCCCAGACAAUCUGAGGGACCACUAAAUAGAGAGCAUAGGGCAAUUAAAUGGAUGACCCUUCCUUUGGAGAAGGAACCCCAGAAGGAUCACAGGCUGAGAGGCAGGGAUUUGGGCCACAGAACAGAAGAAGAAGCCCAGUCAAAGGCAAAUAAAUAACCAUUGUUCAAGAUUACCAACUGCUAGCAUUGAUAAUCAAGAGGUAACUGUAAGUCUUCCUUUUUUUGCAUCCAGAUGGUCCAGGAGGAAUUCAAAGCAAAUAAAUGCAUAUACGCCUGGGUAUGUCUAAAUACAUUUAUUUCCAAGAACUACUAGGUGUUGAGAAACCAUGCAGAGUUUUGAAUAGAGGAGGUGGACAUCAACUGCAGGAUUGGGCUAGAAGCCUGGUAAAUUGAACUCUUUUUUCACUUGUGUGGAUAAAAUGAGACUUCCUGUGGCCAGGAUUCUCACCUGGCCGUGGCUGACUGGCUCACUGCACACCUGUGGGCAAUACAUGGCUGUUGACUCUAUGAAAAGAGCUCUGCCCAGUGCUCUGGGCAUGACACAGUGGCAGGGCUGCAAGGCUGCAGGAGAGCAGAGCAGAGGCUGGAGUGGUGGCAGCACUGAGGACAGAGGCCCAGAGGAUGGCUGUGCAGGAUGACUGUGCAGAGAGGCCUGGAGGAUGGCUGUGCGGGACAGCUGUGUAGACAGAGGUGCCCAGAGACCGGCUUGCUGCAUGCAGACUCGCUCUGCGUGAAGAGGAUUUUAGUGACU